CAGAAAUGAUGAGAUAUUUGACAUCCAAUCGCUUGGAUCCUCUCUCGACUCAUUCCCAAGCCAGUAUCAUCGGUUGGAAUCUUAGCCCGGCUCGUUAUUCCCAAGAGUCGCGCUGUAAAGGCGGCCGGACAGAAAACCUUCCUCGUCCUUCCCGGACAAGAACAGAAGCGAAUUGCCGGACGAGGAAGAACAUUCACACUCUCAAUGAUACUGCUUGGGCAUUCGAGGGUCCUCUGAGAAAUGAGGUCUUCUUUAGUAAUCUGAUCGAU